CUUAGAGUUUGAUCCUGGCUCAGGAUGAUCGCUGGCGGUAUGCUUAACACAUGCAAGUCGAACGGUGUCUUCGGACAUAGUGGCGGACGGGUGAGUAACGCGUGAGAAUCUAGCUUCAGGUCUGGGACAACCACUGGAAACGGUGGCUAAUACCGGAUGUGCCGGAAGGUGAAAGGCUUGCUGCCUGAAGAUGAGCUCGCGUCCGAUUAGCUAGUAGGUGGGGUAAGAGCCUACCUAGGCGACGAUCGGUAGCUGGUCUGAGAGGAUGACCAGCCACACUGGGACUGAGACACGGCCCAGAUUCCUACGGGAGGCAGCAGUGGGGAAUUUUCCGCAAUGGGCGAAAGCCUGACGGAGCAAUACCGCGUGAGGGAGGAAGGCUCUUGGGUUGUAAACCUCUUUUCUCAGGGAAGAACACAAUGACAGUACCUGAGGAAUCAGCAUCGGCUAACUCCGUGCCAGCAGCCGCGGUAAUACGGAGGAUGCAAGCGUUAUCCGGAAUGAUUGGGCGUAAAGCGUCCGCAGGUGGCUGUGUAAGUCUGCUGUCAAAGAGCAAAGCUCAACUUUGUAAAGGCAGUGGAAACUACACGGCUAGAGUGCGUUCGGGGCAGAGGGAAUUCCUGGUGUAGCGGUGAAAUGCGUAGAGAUCAGGAAGAACACCGGUGGCGAAGGCGCUCUGCUAGGCCGCAACUGACACUGAGGGACGAAAGCUAGGGGAGCGAAUGGGAUAAGAUACCCCAGUAGUCCUAGCUGUAAACGAU
rnacentral:rRNA from 1 species